AUACGGAGGUUGCGAGCGUUGUUCGGAUUUACUGGGCGUAAAGGGAGCGCAGGCGGCUUGGUCAGUCUAAAGUGAAAGUCCGGGGCUCAACCCCGGAAGUGCUUUGGAUACUACCAGGCUUGAGUACGUGAGAGGUGAGUGGAAUUCCAGGUGUAGCGGUGAAAUGCGUAGAUAUCUGGAGGAACACCGGUGGCGAAGGCGGCUCACUGGCACGAAACUGACGCUGAGGCUCGAAAGCGUGGGGAGCGAACAGGAUUAGAAACCCGAGUAGUCC
rnacentral:rRNA from 1 species